AUUGAACGCUGGCGGCAUGCCUUACACAUGCAAGUCGAACGGCAGCGGACCUUCGGGUGCCGGCGAGUGGCGAACGGGUGAGUAAUAUAUCGGAACGUACCUUUCAGUGGGGGAUAACGUAGCGAAAGUUACGCUAAUACCGCAUAUUCUGUGAGCAGGAAAGCAGGGGAUCGCAAGACCUUGCGCUGAUUGAGCGGCCGAUAUCAGAUUAGCUAAUUGGUGAGGUAAAGGCUCACCAAGGCGACGAUCUGUAGCGGGUCUGAGAGGAUGAUCCGCCACACUGGAACUGAGACACGGUCCAGACUCCUACGGGAGGCAGCAGUGGGGAAUUUUGGACAAUGGGCGCAAGCCUGAUCCAGCCAUGCCGCGUGAGUGAAGAAGGCC
rnacentral:rRNA from 1 species